GCUUAGAGUUUGAUCCUGGCUCAGGAUGAACGCUGGCGGUAUGCUUAACACAUGCAAGUCGAACGGAGUACUUCGGUACUUAGUGGCGGACGGGUGAGUAACGCGUGAGAAUCUGCCUUCAGGAUGGGGAUAACAGUGGGAAACCAUUGCUAAUACCCAAUGAGCCGAGAGGUAAAAAAUUUAUUGCCUGAAGAGGAGCUCGCGUCCGAUUAGUUAGUUGGUGGGGUAAAGGCUUACCAAGACGGCGAUCGGUAGCUGGUCUGAGAGGAUGAGCAGCCACACUGGGACUGAGACACGGCCCAGACUCCUACGGGAGGCAGCAGUGGGGAAUUUUCCGCAAUGGGCGCAAGCCUGACGGAGCAAUACCGCGUGAGGGAGGAAGGCCUUUGGGUUGUAAACCUCUUUUCUUAAGGAAGAAGAUCUGACGGUACUUAAGGAAUCAGCAUCGGCUAACUCCGUGCCAGCAGCCGCGGUAAUACGGAGGAUGCAAGCGUUAUCCGGAAUUAUUGGGCGUAAAGCGUCCGCAGGCGGCACUAUAAGUCUGCUGUCAAAGACCGCAGCUCAACUGCGGAAAGGCAGUGGAAACUGUAGAGCUAGAGUACGGUAGGGGUAGAGGGAAUUCCCAGUGUAGCGGUGAAAUGCGUAGAGAUUGGGAAGAACACCAGUGGCGAAAGCGCUCUACUGGGCCGUAACUGACGCUCAGGGACGAAAGCUAGGGGAGCGAAAGGGAUUAGAUACCCCUGUAGUCCUAGCUGUAAACGAUGGAUACUAGGCGUAGCUUGUAUCGACCCGAGCUGUGCCGAAGCUAACGCGUUUAAUAUCCCGCCUGGGG
rnacentral:rRNA from 1 species